rnacentral:rRNA from 1 species
AGAAACUAAGGGCUGACGGUGGAUACCUUGGCACUCAGAGGCGAUGAAGGACGUGGUUACCGACGAAACGCUCCGGGGAGCUGGCAACAAGCUGUGAUCCGGAGGUCUCCGAAUGGGGCAACCCCCUGCACGGUUGGCUGAAUCCAUAGGCCAACACGAGCGAACCCGGCGAAUUGAAACAUCUUAGUAGCCGGAGGAAAAGAAAACAAAAGUGAUUCCCCUAGUAGCGGCGAGCGAACGGGGACUAGCCCAAACCAGAUGGCUUGCCAUUUGGGGUUGUGGGACGGCAUACGGGAGCGGACGAGUUAGACGAAGUGUUUGAAUGGCACACCAGAGAGGGUGAAAGUCCUGUAGUCUAAAACUUGAAUGCCCUAGCCGGAUCCCGAGUAGCACGGGAGAUAACCCGUGUGAAUCUGCGAGGCCCACCUCGUAAGGCUAAAUACUCCUGAGUGACCGAUAGUGAAACAGUACCGCGAGGGAAAGGUGAAAAGAACCCCGGAUAGGGGAGUGAAAUAGAACAUGAAACCAUCAGCCUACAAGCAGUAGGAGGCCGAUUAAAACGGCUAACUGCGUGCCUGUUGAAGAAUGAGCCGGCGACUUAUAAGCACCUGGCAGGUUAAGCCGAAAAUGGCGAAGCCAUAGGGAAACCGAGUCUGAAUAGGGCGUGCGUCAGUGUUUAUAGACCCGAACCCGGGUGAUCUAACCAUGGCCAGGAUGAAGCUUGGGUAACACCAAGUGGAGGUCCGAACCGACCGAUGUUGAAAAAUCGGCGGAUGAGCUGUGGUUAGGGGUGAAAUGCCAAUCGAACCCGGAGCUAGCUGGUUCUCCCCGAAAUGUGUUGAGGCGCAGCGGUUGCUAUACCGGUUGGGGGUAGAGCACUGUUUCGGUGCGGGCGGCGAGAGCUGUACCAAAUCGAGGCAAACUCCGAAUACCAAUCGUUCAGGCAGCUAGUGAGACGGUGGGGGAUAAGCUUCAUCGUCAAGAGGGAAACAGCCCAGACCACCAGCUAAGGUCCCUAAAUUGUGGCUAAGUGGCAAAGGAGGUGGGAGUGCAUAGACAACCAGGAGGUUGGCCCAGAAGCAGCCACCCUUAAAAGAGUGCGUAAUAGCUCACUGGUCAAGCGCUCCUGCGCCGAAAAUGAACGGGACUAAGCCAUGUACCGAAGCUGUGGACAGGAAACUGUGGUAGGGGAGCGUUCUGGGUGGGGCGAAGCAUCAGCGUAAGCAGGUGUGGACUGCCCAGAAGUGAGAAUGUCGGCUUGAGUAGCGAAAACAUUGGUGAGAAUCCAAUGCCCCGAAAACCCAAGGGUUCCGCCGGCAGGUUCGUCCGCGGCGGGUGAGUCAGGGCCUAAGGCGAGGCCGAAAGGCGUAGUCGAUGGACAACGGGUGAAUAUUCCCGUACCGUGUGUGUAUUGUACUGGGGGACGGAGAAGGCUAGCACAGCCGCAUGUUGGUUAGCGGUUCAAGCCUGCGAGGCGAUGAGAGACGGUGAAAACGUCUUGAGCGGAGCGGUGAGUACGAGAGUCCACGGACUCGAAGUGUGUGAUGUCAAGCUUCCGAGAAAAGCCCAACUACGUUAAGCACAUGCCUGUACCCGAAACCGACACAGGUGGGUUGGUAGAGUAUACCAAGGGGCGCGAGCUAACUCUCUCUAAGGAACUCGGCAAAAUUGCCCCGUAAGUUCGCAAGAAGGGGUGCCCCCGCAAGGGGGUCGCAGUGAAGAGGCUCUGGCAACUGUUUACCAAAAACACAGGUCUCCGCUAAGUCGCAAGACGACGUAUGGGGGCUGACGCCUGCCCAGUGCCGGAAGGUUAAGGAAGUUGGUCAGGAAACGAAGCUGACGACCGAAGCCCCGGUGAACGGCGGCCGUAACUAUGAACUUUUUGUAGUUACGUAAAAAAAUCUGGCUAUAUGCUGGAAAAUCCGGUGUAUCUGAUACUACUCGUUCUUGAUUUUCAAGAACAGUGACAAUGUAUUCAGUGCGGACAAUCAGCAGGAAAGAUGCCUAUGGACUCCAGACUCAAACGCAUACCGCUAGAAAUUGGGUAUUAUCUCGCAGGUUUUACGGAUGGUGAAGGAAGUUUUAAUGUUUCCUUUCGUCCCCGGCCUGAUUACUCAAUUCCUUGGAAAGUCUCCGUUAGUUUCAAUGUAUCUCAAAAAGACCAGAUUAUUCUGGCUUUAUUUAAGAGAUACCUGGGAUGUGGCACCUUACGUAGCCGCCCCGAUGGGGUUUGGUACUACGAAGUGACCAAUCUCACAGCAGUAGUAGAAAGUGUGAUUCCGUUUUUUGAACGGUUCGGAUUUCUGUCUGCUAAAAAAAAGCGGGAUUUUUCUAAGUUCAAGCAGAUUGUGGCUUUAAUGCAAAAAGAAGCCCAUUUGACUGAAGACGGUUUGCGGGAGAUAUUAAGCAUUCGGGAGGAGAUGAAUGACGGUGGUAAACGCCGUUAUACCUAUCCCGAAAUUCUGGCUUCCUUAAGCAAAUCCUCAGAGACUACACGCCAGACACCAUCUACGGAUGGUGAUGAUAUAGUCCGGUCUUCAUGGCGACAUGAAGGAGCGGUGGAGGCAACUUCACCGGUCGCACUUGAACCUGAUUUUUAGGUUGGUGUAACAAAAACGAACGGUCCUAAGGUAGCGAAAUUCCUUGUCGGGUAAGUUCCGACCCGCACGAAAGGCGUAAUGAUCAGAGCGCUGUCUCGGAGAGAGGCUCGGCGAAAUAGACUUGUCCGUGAAGAUGCGGACUACCUGUACCUGGACAGAAAGACCCUAUGAAGCUUUACUGUAGCCUGGAAUUGGGUUUUGGCUUGCUUUGCGUAGGAUAGGUGGGAGGCGAUGAAGGUGCCCUUGUGGGGGUGCU